rnacentral:rRNA from 1 species
GCCUAAAGCGUCCGUAGCCUGUUCUAUAAGUUUCCGGUUAAAUCCACUAGCUCAACUAAUGGGCUGCCGAAAAUACUGUAGAACUAGGGAGUGGGAGAGGUAGACGGUAUUCAGUAGGAAGGGGUAAAAUCCUUUGAUCUAUUGAGGACCACCUGUGGCGAAGGCGGUCUACCAGAACACGUUCGACGGUGAGGGAUGAAAGCUGGGGGAGCAAACCGGAUUAGAUACCCGGGUAGUCCCAGCUGUAAACGAUGCAGACUCGGUGAUGCGCUGGCUUGUGGCCAGUGCAGUGCCGCAGGGAAGCCGUUAAGUUUGCCGCCUGGGAAGUACGUACGCAAGUAUGAAACUUAAAGGAAUUGGCGGGGGAGCACCACAAGGGGUGAAGCCUGCGGUUCAAUUGGAGUCAACGCCAGAAAUCUUACCCGAAGAGACAGCAGAAUGAAGGUCAAGCUGGAGACUUUACCAGACAAGCUGAGAAGUGGUGCAUGGCCGUCGCCAGCUCGUGCCGUGAGAUGUCCUGUUAAGUCAGGUAACGAGCGAGAUCCCUGCCUCUAGUUGCCACCAUUACUCUCAGGAGUAGUGGGGCGAAUUAGCGGGACCGCCGCAGUUAAUGCGGAGGAAGGAAGGGGCCACGGCAGGUCAGUAUGCCCCGAA